GGUGUUGAUGUUUAGUUUUCUAUUCCCACUAAUCACUGAAUAACAUUUUUUGUCCCACCCUCUGAAUUGCCCAUUCAAAACACGAUAGAUUAUUUUCUUCAUUUUUACCCUCAUUUUUUAUCAUUGUUCUUUCUGCACCCACUUUCAACUAUAGCCUUCACAUUCAUUCCCUUCUCCAUUUCCAAAGCCCUAAAACACCAUUGCUCCUCACCAACUUCUUCAAUCUUUCCCUCAUAGGAAUCGAGAUCAUAAAAAUUCUUAAUUAGAGGCAAAGUCUUCAGCAAGGAAAAAAAUCCAGGUUCAAUUGAAGAACACUAGAUCAUAGAAUUGCUAAUCAAUCUCUCAGUACUGAUUCAGAUUUCUUGAACUGAAAGCAAGUAAUUUUCAAAGAAGCUUGUGCAACAUAGAGAAGAAUAGAUCGGGUAUCAAUCGUGGGAAGGAAAAGAUUACUGAGUAGACGUCUGCGAUUCGUAGCACCUGUCGUAUUUUGUUUAUUCAACAAGCGUUGGGCGCAAACUCUUCCGUGGUUUACCCGCUAGGCACCGGGUGCCAUGUAUCGAUUGGACUAUACAUCAAGGUUAUAUGAACCAUCGAAGACGGUUGGUUAUAGGUUUACAGGUUAGAUAAAUAGUAGAAUCGGACUCAGCAUCCUAUAAGAAUCCCGUACUCAACGUCGGUGAUGUCCUCUUUUGUGUUUUUGGCAUGUACUUAGGGGGUAUUAGUUGGUUAAAAUUUUUCGUCCAUGGAUAAUUUUGAUGAAUUUUACAUGUAUGAUAUAUAACUUAUAAUCUUGGUAAAUGAUGUAUAUAUUUUGAUAUAAUUAUGUUUAUAUAUGUAAAUGUUUGGAAA